rnacentral:rRNA from 1 species
GAACGGUGAAGAGGAGCUUGCUCCUUGGAUCAGUGGCGAACGGGUGAGUAACACGUGAGCAAUCUGCCCUUGACUCUGGGAUAACUGCGGGAAACUGUAGCUAAUACCGGAUAUUACCUUGGAAGGCAUCUUCUGGGGUGGAAAGAAUUUUGGUCAAGGAUGAGCUCGCGGCCUAUCAGCUAGUUGGUGAGGUAAUGGCUCACCAAGGCGACGACGGGUAGCCGGCCUGAGAGGGUGACCGGCCACACUGGGACUGAGACACGGCCCAGACUCCUACGGGAGGCAGCAGUGGGGAAUAUUGCACAAUGGGCGCAAGCCUGAUGCAGCAACGCCGCGUGAGGGACGACGGCCUUCGGGUUGUAAACCUCUUUUAGUAGGGAAGAAGCGACUGGGUUUUCCUGGGAGUGACGGUACCUGCAGAAAAAGCACCGGCUAACUACGUGCCAGCAGCCGCGGUAAUACGUAGGGUGCAAGCGUUGUCCGGAAUUAUUGGGCGUAAAGAGCUCGUAGGCGGUUUGUCGCGUCUGCUGUGAAAACCCGAGGCUCAACCUCGGGCCUGCAGUGGGUACGGGCAGACUAGAGUGCGGUAGGGGAGAUUGGAAUUCCUGGUGUAGCGGUGGAAUGCGCAGAUAUCAGGAGGAACACCAAUGGCGAAGGCAGAUCUCUGGGCCGUAACUGACGCUGAG